rnacentral:rRNA from 1 species
UCCGUAGGGAGCAAGCGUUGUCCGGAAUCAUUGGGCGUAAAGCGCGCGUAGGUGGCUUCGUAAGUCCGUUGUGAAAGUCAAAGGCUCAACCUUUGAAAGCCGAUGGAUACUGCGGAGCUAGAGUACGGAAGAGGCGAGUGGAAUUCCUGGUGUAGCGGUGGAAUGCGCAGAUAUCAGGAGGAACACCAAUAGCGAAGGCAGCUCGCUGGGACGUUACUGACACUGAGGCGCGAAAGCGUGGGGAGCGAACAGG